AAUACAGAGGUCUCAAGCGUUGUUCGGAUUCAUUGGGCGUAAAGGGUGCGUAGGCGGCGCGGUAAGUCGGGUGUGAAAUCUCGGAGCUUAACUUCGAAACUGCAUUCGAUACUGCCGUGCUUGAGGACUGGAGAGGAGACUGGAAUUUACGGUGUAGCGGUGAAAUGCGUAGAUAUCGUAAGGAAGACCAGUGGCGAAGGCGGGUCUCUGGACAGUUCCUGACGCUGAGGAGCGAAAGCGUGGGGAGCGAACAGGA
rnacentral:rRNA from 1 species